rnacentral:rRNA from 1 species
UACGUAGGGGCCUAGCGUUGUCCGGAUUUAUUGGGCGUAAAGAGCUCGUAGGCGGCUUGGUUAGUCAGGUGUGAAAUCUCCACGCUCAACGUGGAGGGGCCACCUGAUACUGCCAUGGCUUGAGUCCGGUAGGGGAGUGUGGAAUUCCCGGUGUAGCGGCGAAAUGCGCAGAUAUCGGGAGGAACACCCGUAGCGAAGGCGGCACUCUGGGACGGUACUGACGCUGAGACGCGAAAGCGUGGGGAGCAAACAGG